GUCUGCCUUGCGUUCCCCAACUUACAUAUUGCUCUUUGCACCCAUUCCCUCACAUCGUGAGCUUCUAGAGGUGAGUCUUGUGUGGGGUCAGGUCCGCAAAGUAUAGAAUUUUUUCCCCGGGCUGAUCAUAUCCAGUAUUUAACUCAUUUUGAGUCCUCCUCCUACACACUGAUCGGGACAUACAUAUCACCACGAGCUCCAUAGUGAGGACUAUCUUGUUCGGACAUAGAGGGCGUGGGCAUUCCAUCCUGAGCCGGUCUCGGAUUUCUUUUCCCAUAGGCCUCCUAAGCCAGAAGUGGGCCCGGUGCUCCAGUUAACCCCAUUCGGAUGACCCUGGUUGUCGGAUGGUGUGUGAGUCAAAACAGGAGUGUCCAGUGUGCCAAAGAAAAAACCUUUCUUGCUAGGCGUGUCUUGUCACUUUUACCUCUUCUGCCCUCCAUUCUUUCAUGAUCUCCAGAGAAGGGGGGGGAGGAUGAAGUCCUCGUCCCCUGAUGAUGGGUGUCCGACCUAACGUCGGUAUCUCAAUCUUCCAUUGCUGUUGCUGCCGUUGCACCCGCUCUGUCGGAUGGGUUGUUAGCCAGCAUACUGGAGAGGACUUCUUCCCCCGGAGCUGUCAUGGCAGCCUUAAUCCUCGCCUGAAAAUCGGUCGGGGAUAUUGAGGUAAGUCCGACAUGUUGGUUCACACCCUUUCGGUCCGUGGGAGACAGGAUCAUACAACAGUACACUUAUUGCCAC